AGAACAUGGCCCUUUCGAAGCACCCAAAUGGGAAAUUUAUAUCACCUAAAACCAAUAAAGAAUUCAGGGUGGAAGACUACCCGAGUUUUAUUCCCUUCAUAGAUGCAAAAAAAUUAACUUCGCAUCCAUAUAUUUUUGCACCUGUUUGCUACUCGGGCCAUUGGUGGUUAUAGGUGAUUGAUACAACAAAGCGGAGAUUUCAUAUACUUGACCCGCUACACAAGAAAGCUCCAAGCGAUGAGAGAAAGCAGCUUAAUAAAUUCACUGGAUAUGUAUUUUCAAGAUUGAGAGCAUAUGUCGGCGGGGAACCUCUGAAGAAAGACGAGAAGGAGAAGGAAAUUAAAGCAUCAUAUGUUAAAAUAUCAGGCCAAAAAUCAAGCUAUGACUGCGCUAUCUAUGUUAUGAAGUGGCUUGAGUUAAUU